rnacentral:rRNA from 1 species
UUUCCUUCCGUAGCACUUACUGAAGCUUUAGCAGCCUGAAAGGGCGAAUGCUAGCGACUAUAAAUAAAUAUGGCGUUCUUAAUUGCUAGUCUCUAUUAUCAGAGGCGACAUUGCCAAAUUGUCGGGGACACCCUAAAGAUCUUGAUACCAAGCUGGCAACGAAAGACGCCAGUGGCCGAGCUAACAGCCCUGGGUAUGGUAAUAAUUCAAGAUAUGUAACAAUGGGUAAUCCGCAGCCAAGUCCUAAACUACGCAAAAGUAGCAUGGAUGCAGUUCACAGGCCAAAUGGUGAUGGGUAGAUUAGUAAAUCUGCUUAAGAUAUGGUCGGUCCCUCUGUGAGAGCAGAUGGGGAAGCUACAUUAAGCAUAUUUCGUUAGUGAGUAUGCAUAAACGUAACUGAAAACGUUCCGUAGGUGAACCUGCGGAAGGAUCAUUA